rnacentral:lncRNA from 1 species
GGCCAAUCAUGAAACAGCUGUGUCGUCAUCAGAGCACCUGCAGCCGCUCUGGAGAAACGGCGGCGGCUGAGUUGUUAAUUCGAACGACGUUAAAACGCCGACGCAAGCCGUAAGAAUAUCGAAAAACAUCGCCGACGUUCGUUCAGCAGAGUGGGCGCUUUGCAUGUUCGCGCUGUGAUGACGACGCAUGACACGUGACAACAUCAACAUUGCGGAUGUAGUACGUCCGAAUUCCUUUCAUAAUAUAUAGAACGUUCAUUUUAACGGUCGGGAAGUAAGUUCAAAUUCAAAUGUAGCACUCAAGCAGUAUGCGAUUUCGAACGCAGCGUUUGUGACUCGAGCGAACAGUUCGCGCGGCGCCGCAGUCAACAUGAACAACUUCGAGGAAAUGUUGGCUGAACAGGUACGCUUGUACAGACAUCUUUAUGAUCCGUCCGUGCGUGCUCACAGAGACAGCCAGAUGGCAAAGAACUCUUGGCGAGAAAUUGCUGCCACCGUGGGAAAGGAAGAAAGUGUUUGCAAGAAAGUCUGGAAGAACUUAAGAGAAGUUUGAAAAGGCAAAAAAGAGAAUUCAUGGUAAAAGUGGAGACCCAGCUGGAUUCAAACAUGCAUCACCAAUCCUCUCAGAGCUUGGCUGGUUAUCACAAUUUGUGAAACACCGGGAAACGGAUUCAACUAUGGACUAUGAGGAGGAAGGUAGUGUGGCCUCCAAUCAUUGGCAGGAAAGCAGCAGUAGGCUACUGAAGGUUGACCUAUCUCCUCCGCUGUCAGCAGCUCCUACAUGUACAACCUCUCCCUGCUCAGAUACAUCUUUUCCUCAAAGCAUCUCAGUUCGUUCCCCUAAAUCGCUGCCAGGCUCUGCAUGUAAGAGAAAACGGAACACCAAGGAUGUUCUUUUGAAGAGAUUGGAGAGGUUGGACCAGGAAAGGGAAAUGGCAAGACAGCAGGACAAUGAGGACUACAGAUGUGGUGUUGUUAUUGCAGACAUGUUGUCAAAGGUGACCCUGAAGAGAAGACGUGUGUGAAGUUCAGGCUCUUAAAAAUAAAGGUGCUUCAAAAAGGUUCUUCAAGCGAUGCCAUAGAAGAACCAUUUUUGGUUCCACAAAGAAC